GGCAGCAGGAAUGCAAUAUUUGCUGGCGACCGGCGCACGGGUGCGUAACACGUAUACAAUCUGCCUUUACAGGGGGAUAGCCCGGAGAAAUCCGGAUUAAUACCCCAUAAUAGAUCGAAUGGCAUCAUUUGAUUUUGAAAGCUCCGGCGGUUAAAGAUGAGUAUGCGUCUGAUUAGCUAGUUGGUGAGGUAACGGCUCACCAAGGCGACGAUCAGUAGGGGAUCUGAGAGGAUUAACCCCCACACGGAUACUGAGACACGGAUCCGACUCCUACGGGAGGCAGCAGUAAGGAAUAUUGGACAAUGCCCGCAAGGGUGAUCCAGCCAUGCCGCGUGCAGGAAGACGGCCCUAUGGGUUGUAAACUGCUUUUACACCGGAGAAAACCUCCCCUCGUGAGGGGAGCUGAUAGUAUGGUGAGAAUAAGCAUCGGCUAACUUCGUGCCAGCAGCCGCGGUAAGACGAAGGAUGCAAGCGUUAUCCGGAUUCAUUGGGUUUAAAGGGAGCGUAGGUGGCCUUAUAAGUCAGUGGUGAAAUCUCUGGGCUUAACCCAGAAAUUGCCAUUGAUACUGUAGGGCUUGAGUACAGUUGCUGUGGGCGGAAUAUGACAUGUAGUGGUGAAAUACAUAGAGAUGUCAUAGAACACCGAUUGCGAAGGCAGCUCACAAAACUGUAACUGACACUGAGGCUCGAAAGUGCGGGGAUCAAACAGGAUUAGAUACCCUGGUAGUCCGCACCGUANACGAUGAUUACUCGCUGCUAGAGGGCAACUUUUAGUGGCUUAGCGAAAGCGAUAAGUANUCCACCUGGGGAGUACGCCGGCAACGGUGAAACUCAAAGGAAUUGACGGGGGCCCG
rnacentral:rRNA from 1 species